rnacentral:rRNA from 1 species
UACGAAGGGGGCUAGCGUUGCUCGGAAUCACUGGGCGUAAAGCGCACGUAGGCGGAUCUUUAAGUCAGGGGUGAAAUCCUGGAGCUCAACUCCAGAACUGCCUUUGAUACUGGGAAGCUUGAGUCCGGAAGAGGUGAGUGGAACUCCGAGUGUAGAGGUGAAAUUCGUAGAUAUUCGGAAGAACACCAGUGGCGAAGGCGGCUCACUGGUCCGGUACUGACGCUGAGGUGCGAAAGCGUGGGGAGCAAACAGG